CCCUUCCUGCCCCCACGCGCCGCCACCCUACUGGCCUCGCCUCUUCCCCCCUUUCUCCUCCAGUGUCUCCUCCCCAUCUGCUCCGCUCCACCUCUCCGCAGACGCGCCCAAGUCCGAGCGCGCCAAGUUCGCCGGCCUGCGCAUGCGCCUGCACCGGCACUGCUUCGUCCAGCCCGCGCGGCGCUGUGUCGCCUCCUCCUGCGCCACGCGGGCUCCGCUGCUCAUGAUCGUGCCCCUGCGCAUGCCCCUGCAGCGGCUGCGCGCCCACAAGCCGCCCGCAGCGCUCCCCGCUCGGUCGCCGGCUCCCUCCGUCCGGCUCCGCUUCUGCCCAUGCCCCGGCCGGCUCCGCCUCUGCCUUGUGCAGCAUCGAUGUCCCCGAGUUCUCUUUCUCUGGUGGGGGAGCUGUUGGCCACGAUCUGGAUGAGCCAGAGUUCAGCAACAGGGGAGGGGUGAAUCAACGGCGGCAGCAGAGAGGGUGGAGAGAAUUGCAAGAGCCUAGGCGCCCAUCACCAUGGUUUUCUCGUCGUUCGCGUGCCACCAUCGCGGUCGUUAUUGGAGCUUUGAAAAGGUUCAUGGGUCAGGCAACGCACAUGGGCGUGUCUGCUAAGCAGGCCACUGGGUGGGUGACAAAGUGAUGCAGUCAACGGCAACCGGCGACCUCAGAGCCCCCCCUUCUCCGCCUCGUCACUGUCGCCACCUAGCUUGACCUCGAGCCGAAGAGCGACUCGGCAGGACGCCGGGGGACAGGUGCAGCAGCCAGCCGCGCCUCGCCCCGUGCUCUGCAGGCGCCCGGCGGCCUCGACCCGGCCUCGGCAGGAGGAGCUCGAGCCGACUCGGCAGAAGGAGUAUAGCAGCAGACACGCCCAAACUGAACAGGGACAAGCACAUGCAAUUAUAUGUUGUGGUAGAUUUCAAAAGAGACCCAGGGCCCAGAGUAGUUUUGCAAAAAUGGAGGAUACCAGACUGACCCAUGGAGCAUGAGAUCCUCCUUGUCAUGGGCCACCUUACUUGUAUGGCUUCAGGAUGAGGAGACCCUUCUAAUUAAGAAGAUUUGUGCUGCUGCUAUUGCGUUCUUCAGUUUCUGGUCAUUGGUUCAUCUGCAAAUGUGUGGACCUCCCUCCCUUUUGCUCGAUUGCUCCACCUUGCUCCUUUGGCUGAUUAUAACAGCUAUUUCCGCAGCCCAUGACGCUGGUUGAGAGAUCCAGGCAGCGUCCAGAUUGCUAUUAUCAUCCUCCAUCAACAAAACCAUGGGGUCCUUGUGGGAGCUGCAUACAAAGUUACAAACCCGUGUGGAUGUAUUUGGUUGGUAGCUGCAACAGCCUGCCAAUCGGAUAAGAGAAGCCAAGGGGCCAUCGACAAUGGUGUAGCUUCAGCAUCCUGUCAAUCGGAGGAGAGGCCAAGGAGUCAUCGGCAAGAAGCAACCUUAUACUGGAACUUGAAGUGGAGUAAUGGUUAACAAUGUUUUAUGGAUCAUAUGUUUUCUUUUGUUCACACUUGAGAGCUACAAGCAUUAAGAUGUUAAUAUAAAUUAUGUACCAAAGUUUGCUUUGUCCGUGGUCAUAUCUACUCCCUCCGUUCCAAAAUAGAUGUUAUUAUCCCUAUGAGUUGUCCCCUUUGUUCUAUAGUAGCAUAAUCAGAGCGAGAAAUUUAAAUGUGAUUGAAUUAUGGUGUGGCUCUUACAAAAAUAUGUGAAUGGGAUCAGAAUUGUGUAUAUAUUGUUGAUUUAAUAGUUUGAAA